CGGAAUCUGCCUAUUUGUGGGGGAUAACGUAGGGAAACUUACGCUAAUACCGCAUACGACCUACGGGUGAAAGCGGAGGACCUUCGGGCUUCGCGCAGAUAGAUGAGCCGAUGUCGGAUUAGCUAGUUGGCGGGGUAAAGGCCCACCAAGGCGACGAUCCGUAGCUGGUCUGAGAGGAUGAUCAGUCACACUGGAACUGAGACACGGUCCAGACUCCUACGGGAGGCAGCAGUGGGGAAUAUUGGACAAUGGGCGCAAGCCUGAUCCAGCCAUGCCGCGUGGGUGAAGAAGGCCUUCGGGUUGUAAAGCCCUUUUGUUGGGAAAGAAAAGCAGUCGGUUAAUACCCGAUUGUUCUGACGGUACCCAAAGAAUAAGCACCGGCUAACUUCGUGCCAGCAGCCGCGGUAGUACGAAGGGUGCAAGCGUUACUCGGAAUUACUGGGCGUAAAGCGUGCGUAGGUGGUUUGUUAAGUCCGAUGUGAAAGCCCUGGGCUCAACCUGGGAAUUGCAUUGGAUACUGGCAGGCUAGAGUGCGGUAGAGGGUAGUGGAAUUCCCGGU
rnacentral:rRNA from 1 species